UGGGGAAUAUUGGACAAUGGGGGCAACCCUGAUCCAGCCAUGCCGCGUGUGUGAAGAAGGCCUUUUGGUUGUAAAGCACUUUAAGCAGUGAAGAAGACUCCAUGGUUAAUACCCAUGGACGAUGACAUUAGCUGCAGAAUAAGCACCGGCUAACUCUGUG
rnacentral:rRNA from 1 species